UACGUAGGUGGCAAGCGUUGUCCGGAAUUACUGGGCGUAAAGCGUGCGCAGGCGGUUUUGUAAGCCAGAUGUGAAAUCCCCGGGCUUAACCUGGGAAUGGCAUUUGGGACUGCAAGGCUGGAGUGUGGCGGAGGAGACUGGAAUUCCCGGUGUAGCAGUGAAAUGCGUAGAUAUCGGGAGGAAUACCGAUGGCGAAGGCAGGUCUCUGGGCUGACACUGACGCUCAUGCACGAAAGCGUGGGGAGCAAACAGG
rnacentral:rRNA from 1 species